AAUCCUAGUACCCCGACUUCCUGGUUUUGGCAAUUUAGAGUCUUGGGAAUCUGUCCUAGCCCCUGUAAAGUAAGCGGACUGUGUAAACAGGCCCUCCAAGAACCUCGAAGUGGCUCUGGUAGCCUUCAGAUCCUAAGCUCCUCAAUCCUUGGAGCCACCCUCAUUCCCCUACACCAAUCAGGAGCCAAAUUCUGAGUUCUCUUGAGCUUAAGGUCCCAGCCAAAUGGCCCUACUGCCUUCUUGCUUGUGAAAGCCUCCAAUUCCCAGCCUGUGGCCAAAUCCAAUUUUUGCAGCAAAUCAACCCUUCCCCCAGUAGCACCCCACCGACCCUGAGUGUCUCAGAUGCUGCAGACUCUAUUUAGGCUUGUAGCAGACAAGUCUAAGGGAAUUGGGCAGGCCAGGCAGUGACACUUCUUUCUCUAUGUUUGAGUCCUAUCCUCAAAGUGGGGAUCAGCCCCUGGUAUGAUAAGCACAGGGUGGGAGAGGGACCUGCUGUGGUGAGAUUACCCAGACUCUGAGACAAGCUCCUGCAGCUCCGCCUCACACCUCAACAGACCUGCACUCCUGUCUUUUAAAUUACCAAACAGGCCUGCGGCUAUUCUAACAAAGACUCACAAGUCACCUAUAAACACACCAGCUUCAGGCCACUUCCUGUGGUUUGCCUAAGCCAGCCAGGAGGGCAGAUGAACACUGUCCACGUUCCUGAGACCCCUUCCCCUGCAGCUACUCACGCAGGGCCUGGCCUCCUGAGGUACCCACCUGGGAUGCAGUGACCUUGUGGACUGCAGGAGGAGUUAUUUUCCCCUUUAGCGCCAGCCUAGGCUGGGCUGAAUGAUGGGCCUGCUGUUACAAAGGCUGCUUUUCAUCGUGUUCUUCCUUGGUAUUUUUGGUGUCUGGAGAGGACUUCCUUUCCUCCUAUGGUUAAUUAGCAGCAUCAUAGCAUUUUCCUUUUCUCAACAGAAAGUCUGUUCCCACCCCUGAGGCCAGGCAGAGGGGGUGGCAGGUGUGGCUAAGUACUCCCUGAGGUUAACCUCAAACUUAAACUUAGAACCAUACUUGUCUAGAAGCAAUGUGAAAUGCAGGAUUAGCUUCCAUUUGGGGCAGAGUUGGCAAGUGGGCACAGGUCCCUGGCAAGCCAGGGGAUUGUUUUCUAGCAUCUCAGUCAGGUGAGGAGACAGGAGAAGGGGGUGGGGAACCAAUGCGUGUUUGACACGUUUGUGAAUUGUUCCUACAACAAAGGCUUUUUUAAAACAACAGAGUGGAGCUUUAUAUAUUUGAAUGAGAAGCACACAGAAGGACCUAUUGUCAGAAGAAAAAAUUGUAUGAGUAAUUGUGCAUGACUUCAGUCUUCCCAGUUAAAAUGUUAGGCUUGUUAAGGAUGACUGUGGACAUUCCUGUGUUUUCAGUGUGGGGAAGACAAAGGAAGGAGCUCCUGGGAGGUGAGGAGGCAGGUUGUCUAGCAAGACAAGAGAGGCAGGAAACCAAGAAGCUCUUUCCCCCACUUUGCCUUGCUGGUUCCCAUUCUUCUUCUACUUAAUUGAGGUACCACUUCCUAUAGGAAGACUUCCUGCCCCUAUCCCCUUCCCCCAUGUAUUAUUGAUACAUAUCUCCUGUCUUUUCAUUAUUUACUAUACUAGAGACUAUCGAUAGGCUGUAGAGCAGUGAGCAUGGAUGCCAGGACCAGACUCCACCACUUCCUAAAUGUCUAACCUCGGCUAAGUUACUUAUCCUCUCUAUACCUCAGUUUCCUCAUCUAUAAAUGGGAAUAAUACCUACCUUGUUUAUGAGGGGAUUAAAUGUGUUAAUAUAUAUAAGGCACAUAGAACAGUGCCUGACAUAUACCCCAUCCUUAGGAAUGUCAAGACAUGGUUGUGUCUUCUGCAGAAAGUUGGCUCUUCCUGGGGCAGGCUUAAGAGAACAAUAUGACACUGAAUGUAAUGGAAUACAUGAAAGAAUCACAAUUCUAGCCAUCUCAACAUAUUGCAAUAUUGAAGAAAUAGAGAGAAAAACAAUUAGCUAGUGGUAAUAUUAGAGAUCAAUAGGUAUUUUCUCUUGUUCUCUCUUCUGUUUAUGUAGACUUAUUGCUUAGAGAGUUGCCAUAACAACUCUAGCCAGAAGCUGAACUUUGACCUUUCCUCGAGUUUUAAUUUCUAUUUGUAACCCAAUCUUUAGUUUAGUGGACAUCAUACAACAUUUAAAGACCUUGAAUAAAGCAUUUGUACCACUCUAAUAUAUAAUUAUCUGCAAGAUAAUAACAUAAUUGUAAUUAACUGCUUUUACCUAGUUGGUUUACAAAAUUUAAACUGACUGCUGCUUAUAGAACAUUAUAUCAGGCACCUCACAAUAGAAAUAGGAAACUAGAGCCAGGGUCCCUACUCUCAAGGAAGUUAUAUGUUAGUGGAGGAAGUAAAGAUAAACAUACUAAAAACUAGAGAAAAUAAAUAUACCAGAAACAUGUAAAUAGUGUAGAGCAGUGUAAAGUGGGCUUUGGAGUCAAACUUUAGGUCUAUUUCUUAUUAGCUGUGUGACCUCAAUUAAUUCAGCUAGCUUUCCAGAGUUUCAGCUUCUUCAUCCACCAAAUGAGAAUUUUGAUGCCGACAUCACAGGAGUGUUGUGAGGCUUCAAAGUGAUAAUAUAUGUAAGUGUCUGGCACUUUUUAUUAAAUGAAAUUAUUUUAAUUAACAAAGACACUGUAUUCCAACAGCACACUUUGUUGUCAGAAAUUUUAUUAUCAAGAGGAGAGUUAAUGGGAAGAGGAGGAAGCAAAUCAAGAAGGAGAACCAAGCACAAACAUAUACCUACUCUCCUGCCAUAAAUCCCUUAAAAGAGAAAAGAUAGCUUUUUAAAUCAGUAGGUGUCUACCAGUACCAGCAAACAAGAGAAGAGGCCAAAAUAUGAUAAAAAUCUGGAUAGGAAGCAGCUGGGAUCAGGGUGGUACAGAACCCAGAGCAGAGUAUUAACAUACUCCAAACACUCUUAAGAGGAAAUUACUUUGAAGGUAGGAGCAGAGAAUCUCUUAGCUCAGAGGAAGCAAAUAGAGAGAAUAGGAGGGGGUUGUGAAGCAAUCAUCAGAGUUAUUAAUCUUUAAACUGCCCUCUGAACAACAGACCUCUCCUCCUCUCUCCACUUCAGGAGGAGGUAGGUGUGUGUGUCCGGAGGUGGGGAGUGGGAGUUGGGGGUUGGGAGGGUUAUCCACGGGUAAGACACAGAGCCUCACUCUAAGAAAGGAAAUCAUCUGCCUGGGGAGGGCGCCUGCUGGGGAACAAGGGCCUGUGAGAAAAGCAGGGCUGGAAGUAACCCCAGCUACCUUCGACAGACACAGAGAGUGGAAAAAGGAAAAGGUGUUCCUGCCCAGCCUGUCAACUGUGACUUCAUCAGGUUAAAGGCCUCCUUAUUUUGGCAUUUGAGGAUGGACGAAGGACUGAGUAGGGAGGAGUGUGGUCCUCAAGCCUGCCUCUCUGCCUGCUCCCAGCAUCUUACAGGGAAGUCUGCAGUCAAAAUGUCCUACUCAGAGUCGUGACUAACCCUCCAUUAUCAAAGGAGCCUGCAGGGGAAACGGAUAGCUCAAAACUGAAGUGAAAAAAACAAAAUACCUACUAAUUAACCUAUCCUUCAAACACAGAUAUUAACGGAAAACUAAGAAUCACCAGAUACUUGAGGAAAUUUAACAGCUCUAAAGAAAAGCACUAAGACGAACAAACUGAAAACUGACCCCAGAGAAAAGACAGGUAAAGGAACAGAAAGGAACACUUAAAAAAAUUCUAAAUAGCAUCAUCCUCAGAAAGAUGCUUGAGGAUAUUGUAGCAGGCUGCUGUGAAAAAGGAACAAACAAAUGCUAUGACAAAGGAAAACCAAUAAGCAAAAAGGAAAUUAAAAAUGAUGAUAAUAAAUCUAAAAAAGCAAUAGAUGGGGUGAAUAAUAGGAUGGAUAUGGCAAAAACUGGGGGUGUUAUCCAGAAGCUAAGUGUGAGGAAAUCUCCCUGAAUCUACAGAAAAGAUGAAGAAUGGAAAAUUUGAGAGAAAAAUUAAGAGAUUGCUAUGGACUGAAUUGCCCCCCCAAAUUCAUAUGUUGAAGUCCUAAUCUCAACAUGAAUGUAUCUGGACAUAGGGCCUGUGAGGAGGUAAUGAAAGUUAAAUGAGGUCGUUAAGGGUGGAACCCUAAUUUGAUAGGGCUAGUGCCCUUAUAAGAAGAGGAAGAGACCCCAGAGCUCUCUCUCUGCUGUGAGAGGACACAGCAAGAAGGCAGCCAUCUGCAAGCCAGGAAGAGAGCCCUCACCAGAAACUGAAUAGGCUAUCAUCUUGGUCUUAGCCUCCAAAACUGUGAGAAAAUAAAUUUCUGUCGUUUAAUCCACCCAGUCUAUGGUAUCUUGUUAUGACAGCCCAAACAGAGGAAUACAGAGACACAAAAGAUUGAUUCAGAAGUGCCUCCAUUCAUUCAAAACAAGUGCCAGGAGGAACUGAGAAUUGGUGGGGAAGAGAUCCACAAAAAAUAAUUAAAGAAAAUUUUCCCAACCCAAAGAAAGGCUCAAGACUUCAUAAGGCCUGCCAAGUGUCAGGCAAGGUAAAUUUUAAAAGAUGCUUUUUAGGCAAAUUUUUGGGAUGUUUCAAAGCCAAAAGGGCAAAGAGAAAACCCUAAAAGUAUUCAGAGAAGAAAAGCAGGUUAUCUACAAGGAACAAAAAUAAGAUUGGCUUUCAGAUUUUUCAAAGGUAACUCUCAAUGCUGGGCAGCAAUGCAGCAAUAACUUCAAAAUCUGAAAGAAAAUAAUUUUGAGCCUAGAAUUAUGUACCAUGCUAGCCCAACUAGUGUUCAAAUGAGAGAGCAAAAUAAAGACGUUUUCUAUUGACCCUUCAAGUUGUCAAAAAUGAGUAAACUUGAUAAAAUGCAGCACUAGCAAAGUUUCAAGGGAAAUGGCACUCUCAAACCCUGUGGGAGUGUCAGUUGGCACAGCCAUUUUUAGAGGGCAAUUUGGAAGUAUGCAUCAAAAUUUUCCAUUUCCAGCUAUGUAACCUGGAGAAAAGCUGGUAAAAAUGCACAAGAGGCUCACACAGCAGAGUGGGGUCAAUAGUGCAGACCUUGGAGUCAGAGUGCUGUCAUGCAAAUCCCAGCUCAGCCACCUAUUAGCUUUGGGAUGUUGGGUGAGAUUACAUUAGUUGCCUCAGCAGUGAAACAAAGAUGAUAAUAUGUGGUCUCUAUUUCAUAGGGUUGUUCUCAGAAUUGAAUGAGUUAUUACAUGUAAAGUACUUAGAACAGAGCCUGGUACAGACUAAGCAUUCAUAAAUGAAUAUUAUCAUAUAUCGAAUAUAUGGAUAUUAGAUGUUAUGUAAGGACGUUAGAUGAUAGGUUGCUUCCAGUUUUGUGCCACUGGAAAUGUGACGUGGCAGCAUUUGCAGUGGCACGGUGUUGGACCACAUAAUAUCUAUUAAUAGGAGAAUGGUACCACCAUACUAUGGAAUACUAUGCAUCUGUUAAUAAAAAGGUCAUAAAGUUAUACUAAUUCUAUAUGCUAUCAUGGAAGGGUCCUAAGGACAUAUUGCUAAAUGGAAGUGAGGGAGAGAAAGCAAAUUGCAGAACAAAAUGUCCUGAUCACCCCAUUAAAAGAUACAUGAAUGUCUAUAUUGGACAUAUAUCCAAUGGUAUACCAUGGCAGGACAAAGUAGGGGGUGCUGUCUGCCCUGGGUGUAGGCAAUAAGGGGAUGCAUUACUUGAGGAUAAUUUUAAACAAUAACUUGAAAACAAUAGUAAAUAAUAAUAAAAUCUACUUGAUCUGCUUUCUAUUCUCACCAUGAACAGGGAAAACAAACAAUGUCAGUGAUAAAAUACUACUCCUUGCCAGGCCAGCCCACUCCUCUUUUUCCCCAAACCCUAUCCCUGUGUGCUAUUGCAUCUUCCUAAGUGCAUAGAAAAACUACUGCAGAAACUUAUUUACAGUACUUACUAACUAGGAGUAUAAUUUACAGAAGGAAGUGGGGUUGAGUAGUGGUGAGUAAGAUUUUCACUUUUUACUUGCUACUUAUUGUUUUUUAAAAAAAUUUUGUGAAGAAUAUAUUCCUUUGUUUAUGAUAUUUCUUGUAUAGUUAAAAUUUUUUCAAUUUGAAAAAAUAAAUAACAUGGUAGGCAAAAGGAUUUAUUCCAGGAAGUCAGAAAAAUAGAGUGCAAUGAUAGCAUAUAAUCAUUCCUGCAAAUAUUUUAGAUCAUAGAAUAUGGGUUAGGUACAGUGACUGCAUUUUCAGAACUAAAAAUCAGAAUUCAGUGUCUGCCAAAAGAUUUUUGGUACCACUUCUGAGUAGGAGAGGAAGCCUGGGACGUCCAAUCUUGAUGCCAAAAUAAUGGAAUUUCUGGGACAGUCUGAUGGCUUAUUAUUGCAAACAGACUGUUUGAAACUAGGUCUGUCCAUCAAUCCCCAAUCCCAUUCCAUUUUUGGAUCCUGUUGGAACAGAGCUCCUCCUGAUACAAUACCAGCUUAAAACCUAGCAUUCACCCUGCCUUACCCUACCUCCCCCAAGUCCUGGGCCUCACAGCCUUUGUUCCCCCUGAGAUCUGCCAGGAGCCCUGACAGAGCACUCCUAACUUCUCGAUUGCCUCAGCAGCAUCCCCAGGCAUACUGUCUGCCUCACCUAAGAGGGUAGCUAUUUUUCUAACUCUCUAUCUGCCCUUCUUGUUACCUACUGGCUUUCCACACCCAUAGCUUGAUUGCCUUCUGCACCCCCCCCCCCCACACACUCCCUACUAGCCCUCUUACUCCUCACCCUACACUUGGUGUACAGCUGAGCUAGCCUGGCCUGAGCUACUGAUACCAAUCCUGCUGAGGCUAGCACAGACAGUCCCAGAUGCAGGGUAAGCUGAGGCUGUGAAAAUGAAAUUGCUGGGUACAGAAAGGAGGAGGGUGAUAGACACAGAGAAACAGGAAAGAGUUUGCCAGGAAGCCAGACUGGUUGAGGGCUGAGUGGAAAAGAGAAGUUGAAGCAGGACUCACAGAACAUCUUGGGACCAGUAAAGGAAGUGGGAGAGAGGUAAGAACUAAAUGUACAGAGCAGUUUUAGUUCCAAGUGUGAACAAGGAUGUCAAGGUAAAUGUAUGGAUUCAUCGCUGAGAAGGACAAAAUGAAAGGCUCCAGUGGGUCCCGAGCCUUCUGCUGGGAAACGGAGAAAGAACAUGUGAAGAAAACCUGCUCCCCACCCUGACUGCGUGACAUCGAGCAAAUUCCUUAACCCCCUGAGCUUUACCUGGAAGUUGGAGUCCUUCCAAUUUAGUUCCUGUACAUAGUGGUACUAAUAAACAUUUGAUGAAUGAAUGAAUUAGUAAAGGAAUGGACUGAAGUCUCCGGAGCACACUUCGGCCAAUGGAACUCCACUCUAAAGGAAAUGGAACUGACUUUAGGGUCAGUGCCCUUGGAAGAUUCUCCCCCCAUCUCUUCUGCGUUUUGAUUCAUGGAACCUCCAUCUCUGCCCAGUGAUGCAGCUGGAAUAGGUUGCAUAAUGGCCACCCAAAGAUAUCCCUGGAACUUGAAAAUGUUGCCUAAUUUGGAUAAAGGGUCUUUGCAAAUGUGACUAAUUUAAGGAUCUUGAGAUGGAGAAAUUAUCCUGGAUUAUCUGGGUCUUGCCAUAUACCAUUUCAGGUAGAAGCUUCCAUUCUAGCAAAUAAAGGGAAACUGAAAAAGAGCUAUGCCAAACCAAAUUCUUCAUCAACCACAUCAUGGUCUGAGAAGAUGUGAAAAUCAUUUGACAAAGAUUCUAAAUGGUCUUGGAAACAAAUAAACCUAAGCAGAGCCAUUUGGUAAUGAACCUGUUCAUAAGUAGAAAAGAAUCUGUUUCUGGAAAGAGGGUAAGCAUGGCAGAAUGACUGGCCAGGAAACUAAAUUCAAACUUAGUGAUAUCAUAAAAGGCCUCAUGUGAUAAUGCAAGAAAUUUGACCUUAUCCUGAAAUAUGUACAGAACCACUGACUGGUUUUAAGCAGAAUGACAAUGACAUGAUUACAUUUAUGUUUUAGAAAACUUACUGUAACAACAAUGAGGAGAGUAGAUUAGAGGGGAACCAGAAAAGAGGUAGGGAGACCAGAAGGAGAACUAUUCAAGUAAUUCAGGAAAUAAUUUAUGAGGAUUUUAACUAAGUGAUGGCAGUGGGAAGGAAGAGGAGGGGAUAUGAUAUUAGAGAACUAUUAAGGAGUAGAAUCUACUGUACUUUGCACUGAUUGGACAGGGGUAUGAUUGAAUGGGCAGAAUCUAAGAUGACUACUACCUUUCUGGAUUGCCCUACUCAGUGGAUGGUGGUUUCAGUCAUCCAAGACAGAAAGAAGCAAGUAUAGGGAGAAAAGUGAUUAGUUGAGUUCUGAACAUUUGACCUUGACGUUCUGGGGCAUGUAGGUGGUUAGGUCCAAUAGGCAGUAGAAUAUAUAGGUCUGAAGCUCAACAAGAGUGUUACAUAAUACCAGCAGACAUCAAUAUACAUUUAACAGUUGAAGCUAUGAGAAUGAAAUAGUUCAGCUAAGGGUUACACAUUGUUUGAUAGAACAAAAGGAAGAGAUGGUGGAACCCUAAGAAAAGGAGACAUUUAUUAGGUAAUAGGUAGAGUAAAAUGAGCCAAGGAAAGAAGUAAAGAAAAGGCCUUUAAUGAACAUUCAAGAAUUAAAUAAAACUGGCAAAACAAAGGAUUCAAAUGAUUUCACCUUAUUUGGAACUCACAACAACCCCAAGAUAUUUAAGGCAGGUAUUACUAUCAGAGUCCCAUUUCAUAGGCAACUUAAGUCCAUUUAGAUGACUAACCCAAGAUUUCUCAGCUUUUAAUUAGCAGAGCUGGGAUUGUAACCCAAGUCUUCCUCAAAUCCCACAGGUCUUCAAUCCACCAUGCUGGCUCCAAAUUUCUUGUGAUUCAUAGAUAUAUAGACUAUCGAAACCAGGAAAGCAGAAGUCGGAAAGAGUAAUACUAGUACAAUAUCAACCUCCCUCAAUACCCCCUGUUUCCAUGCUUUUUACACAGUUGGAAAUUAAAGCUCAGAGAAGUUUAAAAAACACUUUGUCUUAAAAUUCCAAUCCUUACCAAAACUUACCUAAAACUCCAAUCUCCUACUUUAGCAUUCAUAGGCAAAGAAACAUUAAUUCUUUGUUUGCAUAAUGAUAUGUGUGCUCAGAACUUUCAUAAUAAAGGCAUCAGAAACAGAAUAGUAUCUUUUCUGUACUGUAAUCAUUAGAGAGAAAACUAUAGGACUUCUUAAGGCCUUGCUCCACCUCAUACAAUGUUCUUUAUUUUAUGCAAAUGUACUGGCUGUGGGAGAUACUCUAUGUAGUUAUCACAAGUAGAUCAUGAAUGAGUGUUAGAGAUAAGUAAACCAUCUUCUUAUAAAACAAAACAUUAUUAUUAUGGGCCUGCAAAAGCUUAGAAAUAUUUUCACUAGAAUCCAUCUCAGGAUAGUGAAACCUGUUUUACUGGAAUUUGACCUGAAAAAAAUAGAACUUGGUCAUAAAGUUUCAACACAACUCUUACCGAAAGAGUACAUUUCUCCUGCUAACAUGGACAGUAAUUUUUUAAAAAAAUUUGAUAUAUAUAAUAUAAAACCAAGUUAUAUAAAAAUGUGUUGUAGGUGGAUAGAUUCCAAAUGCAGGUUUGAACAUGAUUAUUUCAAGGUCUUUUUACUUAUGUGGAUUAGUGAGCCUGUGGACGAGGUAUCUGCCCAGAAAUUCCAACCUCUAAAAGUGGUUUCAAUUGGUCUAAUUCUGUUCUUAUAUAGGUAAAGUCUUUUAAUCCUUGUGAUAAAACUCCAGGAGCUUGCUUCCUUUAAAUCCUAAUAUAAGUUAGGGUAGUAAGCAGAGAGAAUAUUGAUUUCAUUCAUUCAGGAAACAUUUGAGUGUGAAGACACUGUGACUAUCAAGAUGAAUCAGAAAUGGAUUCUUUCCACAAAUAAUUUAGCCUGGGGCAGGGCUGUGGCGCAGCUAAUUAGGUGGGUUAAGGCUGACAUCUCUGUUAAGAACUUGAAGUACAGGUGUUUUGUGUUGUUGAUCCAUGUUGAGCUUUGGGGUAUAGAUCAAUAAACAGGUGGCAUGUGGCAAAGGUGGCAUUCUGGUAUGAAAGUUGAAAAGCUUGGUUGGUAUUUUCUCAUUGUUGCCUGGAGCCGCUGCUCCUCCUGCUCCCAGUGGAAGGCUCUUUCACUGCAAUUCUGGCAACCCUUUCAGAAUCUGGCCCCUAAGGGAUUACAAAUCUUUUAGUAAUCAGAUGGUAACCCAACUCCACUGAGAGGAUCAACUGGUACAACGUUGCAGGAGCGAAACGUAACUUUGAAGAGUAAUUUAGCUUCCCUCCCCAUUCCCUCUCCUAAGAAAACAAAACAAUCAGACCAGAUAUAAACAUGUAUGUGCAUACAUAUAAAAAGAUCAGAAACAAUUUAAGGCUGAACAACUUGGGUGUGGUUAAGUAAAUUAUGGAUCUCCUUAUGAUGUAAUACUAGGCAGCCAUUAAAAUCAUAUUUUAGGAAAAUGAAAAUAUUUACCAUAUGCCGUUCUAAAAAUUGCUUACAAAAUUUUAACAUGGUAUUAAUGAUAUUUUCCAAAUAUGUGUAUAUUCGUGUUUGUGUGAGCACAGAAAAAGACUAGAAUGAUAGAAGACUCAAAUAUUAAUAGUGGUCAUCUCUGGGUGGUAGGAUUAUAGGAGAGUUUUCUUCUUUGUGGUUUUCUUUUAUUUUCCAAAUUAUCCAAAAUGUAGUGUGUUACUUUUGUUAUUUGAAACAAAUAUAUUUUUAAAAGGAAGGACCAAAAAGUGGUCUAGCUCUUCUCAUUUUACAGUUCCUUUUGACAAAGAAGUUUCACCAAAUUCCCCAAGGGCUGGAACGGAAGGCUAUUUUAGUGAUGCCAACUGUGCCAACUCAAAACAUUACUCACAGAACUUGUAUCUAGCGGCAAAGAAAAGAGUCGCUUCUCAUCCGGUCUAGGGCACAUUCACCAGGAGCUGCAGGGACUCUGCCUACAUCUUUUUUUUCGUUUAAGGAUUUUUAAUUAUGGUAUCCUGGGGCCUCAUAAGCAAUGCCAAAGUCUUUGCCGUCUCUUCCAGUAUACUAGGUGGCCAUGUGCAAAUAAGAUUAUUAAUGGCCUUCAGUAGUAUCCCAGAGUUUUUGAGAGAGGCCAGCAAAAUAGGUCCUGUUUGGAGACAGGAUAGCAUAUUAGUUAGGAAUGCAGACUUUCUAGUCAAACAAACCUUAGUCAGAAUUGCACCACUGAAAUUUACUAAUUGCGUGAGCUUGGGUACAUUACUUAAUUUCUGUGUCUCAAUUUCCUCAUCUGUCAGUUAGAUGAUGAUAAUAUCUACCUUAUAAUGUUUCUAUGAUAGCUCAAAAUGAUAAUGCAUGUUAAGUACUUAGCACAAUGUCUGGCACAUUGUAAAUAAUCAAUAAAUGCAAGCUAUUAUAUUACUAUGAUAAAUACAAUAAAGAGAUAAAAAUAAGUGUUAUGGGAAAUCUAGAAAAGGCACAAUUACUCCUGGUUGAGAAGAUUACAAAAGGCUUUGUAGAAGGAGAAAAUUUAGAUAUUCUAAGAUGAGGGUUAAAGGCAUUUCAAGUGAUGGCAACAUCAGAGCAUAGAGGUGAGGAAGCUAUAAAACAUAGACGUUGAACAGUUUUUGCGAAGCAUCCCAUACAAGAAGAAUUCUUUAGGAAACAAGAAUGCCAGGCAAAGAAGUUUAGACUUAGCUUAUGGAUAAUAAGAAAAUGUUUCAUCUAUUUGUUAUAAUUUUCAUUCCCAAAUAAUUUUUGUAAUACCACACAGAAAUCUUUUUUUUCAAUUCACCUGAGCAUGUGUAGCAAUACCCCAUCUGCCCAUCUCAUGACCCUCCACAUUCUCUAGUUAAAACCAAGUUUUAGCCAUUGGUAAGUCAAAGAAUCUCCUGGCCAAAGCACAGCGUGGUCUCUUGGAGCAGGGGAAGAAACUAGAAAUAACAGAGCAAAGAAAGAAUGACCUUUUCUUUUUAUAGCUGUAUAGACACUUUAAGACAUCAGGGGAUAUGAAAGGAAGCAAAGUUAUGCUUGGUCCUGGUAAGUAGGAUCAUGAAACAUAAAAAACAUGCAGAAAAGAAAAAAGUUCAGACAAAUAAUACUUGAUUUCAAGAUUUACUAUAAAGCUAGAGUAAUCAACACAAUGUUGUAUUGGUGAAAGGAUAGACAUAUAGAUUGAUGAAAAAGAAUAGAAAGCCCAGAAGUAGAACCGCACUUAUGUGGUCAGUUGGUUUUUGACAAAGGUGCCAAGGCAUUCAAUGGGAAAGAGAAAGUCUUUACAACAAAUGGUGUCAGAACCAUUGGAUAUACAAAUGGAAAAAAAUUAAACCUCAAUCUUUAUCUCACAGAAUACAUAAAGAUUAAUUCAAAAUGUCAUGUAGAUCUAAAUAGUAAAAGCUAAAACUGUAAAACUUUUAGAACAAAAAUCUUUGUGAACUUGGAGUAGAAUUUCUCAGACAGAACAGAAACAAGAAGAAAUCAUUUAAAAAUUGGUAAUUUGAACUUCAUCAAAAUUCAAAACGCUUGCUAUUUAAGUGACAUCAUUAAGAAAGUGAAAAGACAGUCGUAGACUAGAGAAAAAAUUUUAUGUACAUCAGCCAAAGGACUCAUAUCCAGCACAUAUAAA